UACGGAGGAUGCAAGCGUUAUCCGGAAUUAUUGGGCGUAAAGCGUCCGUAGGUGGCUGUGUAAGUCUGCUGUCAAAGAGCGAAGCUCAACUUCGUAAAGGCAGUGGAAACUACACGGCUAGAGUGCGUUCGGGGCAGAGGGAAUUCCUGGUGUAGCGGUGAAAUGCGUAGAGAUCAGGAAGAACACCGGUGGCGAAGGCGGCAUCCUGGACCGAUAUUGACGCUGAUGCGCGAAAGCCAGGGGAGCAAACGGG
rnacentral:rRNA from 1 species